UUCCAUUGGCAUCCUCUUGGACGCCAGCCUAGUGGAGGAA
rnacentral:rRNA from 1 species